AUUGAACGCUGGCGGCAUGCCUUACACAUGCAAGUCGAACGGCAGCACGGGAGCAAUCCUGGUGGCGAGUGGCGAACGGGUGAGUAAUAUAUCGGAACGUGCCCAGUCGUGGGGAUAACGUAGCGAAAGCUACGCUAAUACCGCAUACGAUCUAUGGAUGAAAGCGGGGGAUCGCAAGACCUCGCGCGAUUGGAGCGGCCGAUAUCAGAUUAGGUAGUUGGUGAGGUAAAGGCUCACCAAGCCGACGAUCUGUAGCUGGUCUGAGAGGACGACCAGCCACACUGGGACUGAGACACGGCCCAGACUCCUACGGGAGGCAGCAGUGGGGAAUUUUGGACAAUGGGCGAAAGCCUGAUCCAGCAAUGCCGCGUGCAGGAAGAAGGCCUGGUGU
rnacentral:rRNA from 1 species